AUUGAACGCUGGCGGCAUGCCUUACACAUGCAAGUCGAACGGCAGCACGGGUGCUUGCACCUGGUGGCGAGUGGCGAACGGGUGAGUAAUACAUCGGAACAUGUCCUGUAGUGGGGGAUAGCCCGGCGAAAGCCGGAUUAAUACCGCAUACGAUCUACGGAUGAAAGCGGGGGACCUUCGGGCCUCGCGCUAUAGGGUUGGCCGAUGGCUGAUUAGCUAGUUGGGGGGGUAAAGGCCUACCAAGGCGACGAUCAGUAGCUGGUCUGAGAGGACGACCAGCCACACUGGGACUGAGACACGGCCCAGACUCCUACGGGAGGCAGCAGUGGGGGAUUUUGGACAAUGGGCGAAAGCCUGAUCCAGCAAUGCCGCGUGUGUGAAGAAGGCCUUCGGGUUGUAAAGCACUUUUGUCCGGAAAGAAAUCCUUGGCUCUAAUACAGUCGGGGGAUGACGGUACCGGAAGAAUAAGCACCGGCUAACUACGUGCCAGCAGCCGCGGUAA
rnacentral:rRNA from 1 species